UGUCGGGAUUGUGGUUGCUGAAUGGGGACAUUGAUAAGGGUCAUCGUGGUGCGAUAUGGUAUGAGCGCAAGCUUGAGCCUCUCGUCACUCGCACUCCUAAGGAAAACUGGAAGAUACACUCAGGAUGGCUUCAGCGGUUGAAAUGGGCCGGCCUUUUACCUUUCGCGCGUCUGGUUGAGUAUCCCGGGUGAGAAACGCGUCGCCAUCGAUGGGUCUUUGCUGAGCUGCUUAGUGGACCGUUGGAGGCCAGAGACCCACACGUUUCACUUCAGAUGGGGAGAGAUGGCUCCUACUCUGGAGGAUGUGUCACUUUUGCUCGGUCUACCGUUGGCAGGUCAUGCCGUAGGACCGUUGGACGCACCGGCUGGUUGGGAGCGAGCUCUCACAAAACGUUUUCACGGUGUUUUUCCGGAUGCUCCCGAUCCGGUAUGGGAGCAUCACGGACCUAAGUAUGAGUGGUUGCUAAAUUUCCGGAUCCAGAACUUCCGGGCGCCCUUGACUGCGGAACAGAUCACUCGGAGCCUCGAGGCCUACUUACUGUGGCUUUUCGGCAAGGUGAUGUUCACGGAGAACCAUGUCACCACUAUCAGCGCCCUCUACAUCCCUAUGGCACUCGAGAUAGCGAGCGCUCAGACGGCGGAUCAGAUCAGACAGAGGAGUUGGGGUUCGGCGGUGUUAGCGGCUACAUACCGAGGUAUGUGCAACGGUUGCCAGCUUACAUCGAGAAAGCCAGCCCUUCUUGGAUGCCCUCUAUUCCUACAGCUGUGGUCGUGGGAGAGGUUCUCUAUAGGGCGACCAGAUGUACGGGUUCAUGAGCCUAUAGACGCCAUGUUUGAUGUUGAGGGCAUCGACAUGCCUACUUUCGGUCUGUGUUGGACUCGUCGCAAGGUAUGCACCGUGUUGUAGUUUAAUGCAACUUUUUCUGCACAAGAGAUCGAUCGAUGCGAGCGGCUACUAACUUUUAUUCUCUGUAGAGACACUUUGCUAGUGAUCAGACCAGGAAGGCGUACACAGCAUUGAACGAGCAGUUCGAUGCGUACACCGGGGUAAUCUGGCAGCCCUACACGGAAGCAGCCAUACAAGCGAGAUACCCUGCUGGUAUGUCUGUGCUAUGCACAAGGGACCGAGAUUACUGGAUGACAAAAUCGAAGAUCAUCUUCGAUGUCUUCGUCGAGGAGAUGGCACAACAGAGGGUUAUGAGGCAAUUUGGUCUUCUGCAGUUGGAGCUACCUCCCCCUAUAGAGAACCCGGUGCCAGCACACAUCCACAGGCUACCUUGACACGCGAACUGUACGACGACGUGACCACCUUCGGACGAUCACUAUCGUCUGGACCUCUUCUUCAACAUCGUCCAGUGGUACAGCCCUUCUUGGAAAGAAUUCAGAAUAAGAUACGGACUGUGUACGAGGCUAUCACGUGCACCCGGAGAACCGAUGUUGUUCAGCACGAGCAGGAGCAGCCGCGUCACUCCAUGCAACGACAUCAACCACGUCCACGCCUAGCACAGCAGCCGACAACGAGGCCACCCCGUCCUGACCAACCUGGCAGUUCUACGUGGCACCCGCAGCACUAUGGUCCCACGUCGAGCUUCGUGUUUUCUCCACAGCCACAGCAGCACGGUCCCUCGUCCAGUUUCGUGUUUCAGCCAGAGCAGACGUCACACCCAGCAGGUAUGUGUCUUCAUAUUUAUUGUUUUCAAUAUUAAUUGACGCGACCUCAUUCUUCAUGAUGAACCGUUCCAUCGCGUAGGGGCCUAUGGAUAUCAGGCAUCUAUGUCGGCAUCACAUGAUACGUGGGGGAGUGAUCAACAUCCCGAGGACAACAUACAGGCUCAGAUGUCGCAGCACACCCAGUGGAUGAACAUGUUUUCGACUCCUCCACCAGGCCCCACACAGGAUACACAGCAUGACCAGGGAGAGUCUGAGAUUCCUCCUCGUCACGUUAGGGCACCCGACAGGUUGGGAUGGUCCCCGAUUCCAGAUCCGCCUCCCCGCCAGGCCAGACGUCGUCACUGACGCUUCUAUGUAUCUGUAUCAGUAGAGACAUUACCAUCUAUUUCUGUGUAAGACUUAUGUCUAUUCUAUGUAUGAGACAAAUGACU